UUACUUAUCCUGAUUUUACAAAAAAUAAAAAGUGACUAAAAUCCCCCAAAAGGACUUAGGUAUCUUUCUCAUUUCUGCUCUCUUUGCCUCUUUCCGUCUCUCCGCCUACGACUCUACUUCCACAGCCAUGGCACAAGACACGGGCAUGUUUACAGUGCAUCGAACAAUUGGAAGUGUUUUAUGCUGCAAAUGUGGUAUUUCUAUGC